rnacentral:rRNA from 1 species
CUCGUAGUUGAACUUCUGAGCCACGUGCAUGGGCGCCACACAUGUGGCCCCUCACUGUGGCUCAUCUUCGUUGUUGAACCUUGGCGGCGCAAGUCACCUUGGGGAUCGGCGUCAUUUACUGUGAAAAAAUUAGAGUGUUCAAGGCAGGCGUUAGCCCGUAUCCACUAGCAUGGAAUAAUAAGAUAGGACCUCGUGCUAUUUUGUUGGUUGCGGUUCGAGGUAAUGAUUAAUAGGGACAGUUGGGGGUAUUCGUAUUUAGCUGUCAGAGGUGAAAUUCUUAGAUUUGUUAAAGACGAACGACUGCGAAAGCAUCUACCAAGGAUGUUUUCAUUAAUCAAGAACGAAAGUCAGGGGAUCGAAGAGGAUUAGAUACCCUCGUAGUCCUGUACCAUAAACGAUACCGACCCGCGAUUGUCAGGUGUAUUCAAGACCCUGGCAGCAGCGAAGAAGAAAUUCCGAGUCUUUGGGUUCCGGGGGGAGUAUGGUUGCAAAGCUGAAACUUAAAGGAAUUGACGGAAGGGCACCCAAGAAGUGGAGCCUGCGGCUUAAUUCGACUCAACACGAGAAAACUUACCAGGUCCGGACAAAACAAGGAUUGACAGUUUGAGAGUACUUUCUUGAUUUUUUGGUUGGUGGUGCAUGGCCGUUCUUAGUUGGUGGAGUGAUUUGUCUGGUUGAUUCCGAUAACGAACGAGACCUUCGCCUGCUAAUUAGUUCUCUCCCCUACCGGGGUAUUGAGGACUUCUUAGAGGGACUCGUU